rnacentral:rRNA from 1 species
GAUGAACGCUAGCGGCAGGCUUAACACAUGCAAGUCGAGGGGUAGAAGGAGCUUGCUCCUUUGAGACCGGCGCACGGGUGCGUAACGCGUAUGCAAUCUACCUUUUGCAGAGGAUAGCCCAGAGAAAUUUGGAUUAAUACCUCAUAGUAUGUGAGGAUGGCAUCAUUUUCACAUUAAAGUCACAACGGCAAAAGAUGAGCAUGCGUCCCAUUAGCUAGUUGGUAAGGUAACGGCUUACCAAGGCUACGAUGGGUAGGGGUCCUGAGAGGGAGAUCCCCCCACACUGGUACUGAGACACGGACCAGACUCCUACGGGAGGCAGCAGUGAGGAAUAUUGGACAAUGGGCGCAAGCCUGAUCCAGCCAUGCCGCGUGCAGGAUGACGGUCCUAUGGAUUGUAAACUGCUUUUAUACAGGAAGAAACACUCCGACGUGUCGGAGCUUGACGGUACUGUAAGAAUAAGGAUCGG